GUGCAACAUGUUACACGGCCAACACCAAUGGACGUAGUGACACACACACACACACACACACACACACACACACACACACACAUACACACACACACACACACACACACACACACACACAUACACACAUACACACAUACACACAUACACACACACACACACACACACACACACACACACACACACACACACACACACACACACUCAGCGCUUCCAACAACUGCCCAUGCUCGACAACUGCGCUUCAACAUCUGUUCCCGGCCAGGCAGCCAGCAUCCCCAGCAGUGCACAGCCGAUUUGUACACAGCCAAACCUCGCUGGCUGGCUGGCUGGCUGGCUGGAUGUCCUUCAAUGCCGCUCUCUCAACCCCGACUCGUUGGGCUCGGGCAUAUGCUGUAACCCAGCUACUCGGCCCACACCGCGACGUCGUUCAGGUCUUCCCCGGGGUUGACGCCGCCAAACACCACCAUGGCGUGUGCUGACCCCGCGCCCGAGCCGCCCGCCACCGGCACCACCACGGCGCUGUGCGCGAAGCGGAUGUCUGGCACGGUGCCGUCCUUGUCGGACUCGCGCGGCCCCCGCCGCACCAGCUCUAUCUCCAGCGAGCGCGGGUCUAUCUGCAGCACGUCUCCCUCCACGGCCUCACCGCUGUAGCCGCCGUAUAUGAGCACGCGGCAGUCGCCGCCGCUGCUAGUUGCGGCGGCGCCGCCGCUGCCGGCCGCCGCAUCCGCGCCCUCCUCGGCCUUGCCAGAAGCGCCGCCCUCCGUGCUGCCGCCUGUGGCGUGGGAUGCAGGCAAUCGCAGAGGCGCAGGGACACAGUGAACUCCGCAAUACGUUCUCUGGUGGCAUUCGACAUAGCGGAUACGAGCAGGCCCUAGGUGCCUAGUGGACCGAAGUAAUGGCACGCACACGCACAGACCCAGGUAUGCGCACAAUC
rnacentral:lncRNA from 1 species